rnacentral:sRNA from 1 species
GCAGGUUCGAAUCCUGCACGACCCACCAAUUUCAGCAUUUAACUCAGAUGCUGAACGUGAAGGAUAACGUUGCGACAGCAACGGCCCGAAGGGCGAGGCGAAGUCGAGUCAUCCUGCACGACCCACCA